GGGGGCUAGCGUUAUCCGGAUUUACUGGGCGUAAAGGGUGCGUAGGCGGUCUUUCAAGUCAGGAGUGAAAGGCUACGGCUCAACCGUAGUAAGCUCUUGAAACUGGGAGACUUGAGUGCAGGAGAGGAGAGUGGAAUUCCUAGUGUAGCGGUGAAAUGCGUAGAUAUUAGGAGGAACACCAGUUGCGAAGGCGGCUCCCUGGACUGUAACUGACGCUGAGGCACGAAAGCGUGGGGAGCAAACAGGAUUAGAUACCCUGGUAGUCCACGCUGUAAACGAUGAGUACUAGGUGUCGGGGGUUACCCCCUUCGGUGCCGCAGCUAAC
rnacentral:rRNA from 1 species